UACGUAGGGUGCAAGCGUUGUCCGGAAUUAUUGGGCGUAAAGGGCUCGUAGGCGGUCUGUUGCGUCGGCUGUGAAAACCCGGGGCUCAACUCCGGGCCUGCAGCCGAUACGGGCAGACUAGAGUUCGGCAGGGGAGACUGGAAUUCCUGGUGUAGCGGUGAAAUGCGCAGAUAUCAGGAGGAACACCGGUGGCGAAGGCGGGUCUCUGGGCCGAUACUGACGCUGAGGAGCGAAAGCGUGGGGAGCGAACAGG
rnacentral:rRNA from 1 species